AUUGAACGCUGGCGGCAGGCUUAACACAUGCAAGUCGAGCGGGGGAAGGUAGCUUGCUACUGGACCUAGCGGCGGAGGGGUGAGUAAUGCUUAGGAAUCUGCCUAUUAGGGGGGGACAACAUCUCGAAAGGGAUGCUAAUACCGCAUACGCCUUAUGGGAGAAACCAGGGGAUCUUCGGACCUUGCGCUAAUAGAUGAGCCUAAGUCGGAUUAGCUAGUUGGUGGGGUAAGGGCCUACCAAGGCGACGAUCUGUAGCGGGUCUGAGAGGAUGAUCCGCCACACUGGGACUGAGACACGGCCCAGACUCCUACGGGAGGCAGCAGUGGGGAAUAUUGGACAAUGGGGGGAACCCUGAUCCAGCCAUGCCGCGUGUGUGAAGAAGGCCUUAUGGUUGUAAAGCACUUUAAGCGAGGAGGAGGCUACUUUAGUUAAUACCUAGAGAUAGUGGACGUUACUCGCAGAAUAAGCACCGGCUAACUCUGUGCCAGCAGCCGCAGUAA
rnacentral:rRNA from 1 species